rnacentral:rRNA from 1 species
GUCGAGGGGUAAACGGUAGCAAUACUAUGAGACCGGCGGACGGGUGCGUAACGCGUAUGCAACAUACCUUGUGCAGGGGGAUAGCCCGUGGAAACGCGGAUUAAUAUUCCAUAGUCCAGCUAUAUCGCAUGGUAUAGUUGGUAAAGAUUUAUCGGCACAAGUUUGGCAUGCGUCUGAUUAGCUUGUUGGUAGGGUAACGGCCUACCAAGGCUACGAUCAGUAGGGGUUCUGAGAGGAUUAACCCCCACACUGGUACUGAGACACGGACCAGACUCCUACGGGAGGCAGCAGUGAGGAAUAUUGGUCAAUGGGCGGAAGCCUGAACCAGCCAUCCCGCGUGAAGGAAGACAGCCUUACGGGUUGUAAACUUCUUUUCUGUCAGAAGAAUAAGCUUGUCGAGACGAGUGAUGCCGGUAUGACAGGAAUAAGCAUCGGCUAACUCCGUGCCAGCAGCCGCGGUAAUACGGAGGAUGCAAGCGUUAUCCGGAUUUAUUGGGUUUAAAGGGUGCGCAGGUUGUUUGAUAAGUCAGUGGUGAAAGUCUGUCGCUUAACGGUAGGAUUGCCAUUGAUACUGUUGGACUUGAAUAUGGAUGAGGUAGGCGGAAUGUGUAGUGUAGCGGUGAAAUGCAUAGAUAUUACACAGAACACCGAUUGCGAAGGCAGCUUACUAAUCCAUCAUUGACGCUGA